rnacentral:misc_RNA from 1 species
GAUGGGUUGGGACCAGAAAGUGUGGGAGGAGCCAAUGGCUUUCUAGCCUGAAAGGUUUCUCAACAGUGGAGGAGAAGCUUUUGGCAUUACAGCAGAAGUAGAGAAAUCAAGAUGAUGCCUUUGGGGUUGGGUGGAGAAUUUGUACGGUUUAUGUUUUAGCUAAUUUGAUUUGGAAUUUCGAGUGGAGGCUAUGGAUGGAGAGGGCGUUGAUCUAUCGGAGAAGCUAGAAUUUACUUUGAUGAUGAAGAAUCAAUUUCAGGCCCAGAUAUCUCCAAGGUUGAAAUAAAUGAUCAGGUCAUUUUGUUUUCUAUAUGUUACAUGGUAUGAAUGAACUUCAUAUGUGAAUGGAAAUUGAAAGUCUUCCACCACUUGAAAACAGCCUGAACUUAGAGCUUCUGAAUUUCUCACAUUGCUUGGAAGAUUAUUUCGAUCUGAAUGAUUUUUGUUUUGAUCAGAUUCAGCUUCUGAAUUAGUUUAAAUAUAUAAAGAAAACAAACUAAAAUCGAUUAUUCACUAUUUUUAAUUGCAAUAAUCUAAUUUUUUUUUAAGUUAAUGCAUACAACAUACAUAGCUUGUCUGUGAAGCAGCAUCUCCUGCUGCCCAAGAACUUUUCAAGUGAUACAGACUGAAAUCUAAAAAAAUAGAGAUGAAGCUUUAUUUGAAUCUGGGAGUUAUGAGGGCCUGUAAUGGAUUCUUCAUUACCAUUGUAAACUGUAGCUUCUCAGACAAGUCAACAUCAUCUCCAUCCAUAGCCUUCCACUCAAAUUUCCAAAUCAAAUUAGCCACAAAAUACUCCAA